UGAGGAAUAUUGCGCAAUGGGGGCAACCCUGACGCAGCAACGCCGCGUGGGUGAAGAAGGCCUUCGGGUUGUAAAACCCUUUUCUGGGGGACGAGACAGGACGGUACCCCAGGAAUAAGUCCCGGCUAACUACGUGCCAGCAGCCGCGGUAAAACGUAGGGGGCGAGCGUUAUCCGGAUUUACUGGGCGUAAAGCGCGUGCAGGCGGCUGGGCAGGUUGGACGUGAAAGCUCCUGGCUCAACUGGGAGAGGUCGUUCAAUACCGCCUGGCUUGAGGGCGGAAGAGGGGAGUGGAAUUCCCGGUGUAGUGGUGGAAUGCGUAGAGAUCGGGAGGAACACCUGUGGCGAAAGCGGCUCCCUGGUCCGCAUCUGACGCUCAGACGCGAAAGCGUGGGGAGCGAACGGGAUUAGAUACCCCGGUAGUCCACGCUGUAAACGAUGGACACUAGAUAUUCCUGCGUUCAUGUGGGAGUGUCGAAGCUAACACAUUAAGUGAUCCGCCUGGGGAGUACGACCGCAAGGUUA
rnacentral:rRNA from 1 species